UACAGAGGUCUCAAGCGUUGUUCGGAUUCAUUGGGCGUAAAGGGCGCGUAGGCUGCGGGGCAAGUCGGGUGUGAAAUCUCAGGGCUCAACCCUGAAACUGCACUCGAUACUGCUCUGCUUGAGGACUGGAGAGGAGACUGGAAUUCACGGUGUAGCAGUGAAAUGCGUAGAUAUCGUGAGGAAGACCAGUGGCGAAGGCGGGUCUCUGGACAGUUCCUGACGCUGAGGAGCGAAAGCCAGGGGAGCAAACGGG
rnacentral:rRNA from 1 species